UGGGGAAUAUUGGACAAUGGGGGCAACCCUGAUCCAGCGAUGCCGCGUGGGUGAAGAAGGCCUUCGGGUUGUAAAGCCCUUUAGGUUGGGAAGAAGUGUACGGGGCGAAUAACCCCGUAUGUUGACGGUACCGACAAAAUAAGCACCGGCAAACUCUGUGCCAGCAGCCGCGGUAAUACAGAGGGUGCGAGCGUUAAUCGGAGUUACUGGGCGUAAAGGGCGCGUAGGCGGUUGUGUGAGUGUGAUGUGAAAGCCCUGGGCUUAACCUGGGAAGUGCAUCGCAAACGACAUAACUGGAGUAUAAGAGAGGGUGGCGGAAUUUCCGGUGUAGCGGUGAAAUGCGUAGAGAUCGGAAGGAACGUCAAUGGCGAAGGCAGCCACCUGGCUUAAUACUGACGCU
rnacentral:rRNA from 1 species